GCCUUAGUGAUUGAGUUGGCUAAGAUACCCGUACCGAAGAUUCGGGAGGUCCCGGUUCGAAUCCUGGCUGAGGUG
rnacentral:tRNA from 1 species